UCGGAAUUAUUGGGCGUAAAGAGCUCGUAGGCGGUUUGUCGCGUCUGCUGUGAAAUCUGGGGGCUCAACCCCCAGCCUGCAGUGGGUACGGGCAGACUAGAGUGCGGUAGGGGAGAUUGGAAUUCCUGGUGUAGCGGUGGAAUGCGCAGAUAUCAGGAGGAACACCGAUGGCGAAGGCAGAUCUCUGGGCCGUAACUGACGCUGAGGAGCGAAAGCAUGGGGAGCGAACAGGAUUAGAUACCCUGGUAGUCCAUGCCGUAAACGUUGGGAACUAGAUGUGGGGACCAUUCCACGGUCUCCGUGUCGCAGCUAACGCAUUAAGUUCCCCGCCUGGGGAGUACGGCCGCAAGGCUAAAACUCAAAGGAAUUGACGGGGGCCCGCACAAGCGGCGGAGCAUGCGGAUUAAUUCGAUGCAACGCGAAGAACCUUACCAAGGCUUGACAUAUACCGGAAACGGCCAGAGAUGGUCGCCCCGCAAGGUCGGUAUACAGGUGGUGCAUGGUUGUCGUCAGCUCGUGUCGUGAGAUGUUGGGUUAAGUCCCGCAACGAGCGCAACCCUCGUUCUAUGUUGCCAGCACGUUAUGGUGGGAACUCAUAGGAGACUGCCGGGGUCAACUCGGAGGAAGGUGGGGAUGACGUCAAAUCAUCAUGCCCCUUAUGUCUUGGGCUUCACGCAUGCUACAAUGGCCGGUACAAAGGGCUGCGAUACCGUAAGGUGGAGCGAAUCCCAAAAAGCCGGUCUCAGUUCGGAUUGAGGUCUGCAACUCGACCUCAUGAAGUCGGAGUCGCUAGUAAUCGCAGAUCAGCAACGCUGCGGUGAAUACGUUCCCGGGCCUUGUACACACCGCCCGUCAAGUCAUGAAAGUCGGUAACACCCGAAGCCAGUGGCCUAACCCCUUGUGGGAUGGAGCUGUCGAACGUGGGAUCGGUGAUUAGGACUAAGUCGUAACAGGGUAACCGUAAA
rnacentral:rRNA from 1 species